rnacentral:rRNA from 1 species
UACAGAGGUCCCAAGCGUUGUUCGGAUUCACUGGGCGUAAAGGGUGCGUAGGUGGUUAGGUAAGUCCGAUGUGAAAUCUCCAGGCUCAACCUGGAAAUGGCAUUGGAUACUAUCUAGCUUGAGGAGUGGAGGGGGGACUGGAAUUCCUGGUGUAGCGGUGAAAUGCGCAGAUAUCAGGAGGAACACCGAUGGCGAAGGCAGGUCUCUGGGCCACUACUGACGCUGAGGCACGAAAGCGUGGGGAGCAAACAGG